GUGGCAUUUACCUGCCUUUUAACAAUAUUCUGUCCUGCAGCACAGCCUGAACACCCAGUAAAUGAUGAAACAAAACUUCUUCCCAAGCCUCAAUGAGGAUUGUGCCAUGGUUUAGAGGCCAAAGAACAAUGGUCAACCCAGCAAUAAACUCAGUUUGGCUGAUUUCGGCCUUUAGUCUAACCUUCUCAGUUGGACCACACAGACAUUCUUCUCUUCAAUUUCAGGGUCUUUCCUUCAGGAAUUCUGUCAGGAAUAAGCAGCAAGUUUCCUACUGCUCUGGGUCCUCCUUAGACUCCUCUUAUUUCGUGUUCAGAGGAAUGAACUCCACAUCCUGUCUUAAACUCCACUUUCCUUCUAUUAUUUUGUUCACAUUUGACAUUGAUACUCAUUAAAACUAGAAUCUGAAUUGUUACCACCAAUGAUAUUGUUUACCUCUUUUUUUGCACCAGAGAGCUUAAUAUUUAAAAUGUUCUGUGAGAUAUGGGAAUGGUAUACUGUCUUUCUAGUGUGGCAAAAGAAGAGAGAGCAACAAAUUAUUGUGUUCAUAUUAAGAUUAUUUGAAUAUCAAUAUUUUGCCAAAUUUGUAUUUAAGUGUCCAUGCUAUUUUUAAUAAUUGGAUUGAUAUAAAUAGAUCUUAAGAAAUAGCAAAAGAAAGAAACCCAUUUUGUCAAAUUGGAGUCAGGGAGGCAUGGAAAUUCUCUUCAUUUUAAGUGCUCCUAAAUUCCGGCUUACUCUGUGGUUGAAUUUAUAUCAAUAAAGAGAAUUGGAGAUUAAGGCAAUUAAUCAGAAAUUUUAGUUAAAAAAGGAAUACAAAAAAAAAGUAAAGUUUCCUAUAGAAUUCUAGGGUUUGACAUUCACACAGUUAUUUCAUUAGGUAGAAUGGUAAGUCUUUGCUCUUAUGAAAAGAUUGUUCCCUAAUUGUCAUUGAGCAUAAGGUAAAAUGAAGAUAGAUUAUACAAAUAUCCUUAUUGAUUAAAAGUUUAAAAUUGCCAGUGUCCCAAGAAAUAUGCCUGAAUUCAAGGUUAUCUUAUUGUAAAGAAUAUCUUAUUGCAGUUUGUUUUUUUUUUUUCCUUAUUGUAAAUAAAGGGUCAACCAACAACUAAUAACUCACAACUGCAUCUUUUCUUGUUAGAACAUGUCGCCCAGCACUUUUUGAUUAGAUGUUCUCAGAUAAUAGCUGGGGCAGAUUGACCAAAGGAGAGCAAUUUUUUUUUAAUCAGGAUAACAUAAUAAUUCAAUCACAAACUUUAGAUAGGGCUAUGGAUAUCACCAAUUUUCUUUUUUUGUCUAUUAAUAGUGCUGUAUCUUUAGUGGAAUUGAAGACAUGACCUUCUGCAGGUUUCAAUACAACUUUAUAAAAGGCCAUAGCAAUGCCUUUAAAAUCAAAUCUAUUAACUGUUCUACAGAGAAGCCAGUUUUCUAGUAACUUGGCCAUAACUUAAAGACAGGGACCCUGAAAACAUCAAGCAUUUGCCUGAAAUAUGAAUUACCUCCCUGACUAAAUUCAGUAAUCUUGGCUCUUCUUCUCUGCAUGUAAGUCAUUUUGUGUACAUCAGUUUCUUCACCUAUGCAAGAAGAGAGUUGUCCAGCAUGUCCUGAGGUUCUUUCAGUUCUAAGUUCUUUGUAUAAUUUGAUUGGAGCCCAAGAGAUGUCCUAAAUCUGACUGGCAUGCAGUAAAUGUUUGUUGAUUAUGAAAAAAUAUUUGAGUUCCAAAUGGGUUGUAAAAUAUCUCGUGUGGACAUACUGUAGCAACUUAAUACUUAUAAUUUUGGGAGCAGAAUAAAUGUAAUUAAAUCACAAAUGCAAAUGAAUUCUCUGUUUAUUUAAGUCAAAGAGAAAUAGUUGUCUAAAAACAAUCUGACCCAUAUACUGGUUGAAAAUAGUAAACAUUAGUUUUUUAUGAAGUGCAAAGUAAGUGGUUCACAUAUAUUAAAUAUAAUGAAGGCCGGGCGCGGUGGCUCAAGCCUGUAAUCCCAGUACUUUGGGAGGCCGAGGCGGGUGGAUCACGAAGUCAGGAGAUCGAGACCAUCCUGGCUAACAUGGUGAAACCCUGUCUCUACUAAAAAUACAAAAAACUAGCCGGGCGUGGUGGCGGGCGCCUGUAGUCCCAGCUACUCGGAGGCUGAGGCAGGAGAAUGGCGUAAACCCGGGAGGCGGAGCUUGCAGUGAGCCGAGAUCGCGCCACUGCACUCCAGCCUGGGUGACACAGCGAGACUCCGUCUCAAAAAAAAUAAAAAUAAAAAUAAAUAAAUGUAAUGAAUGUAUUAAAAAAGAUUUUCACCUAGUUGAACUGCAUUUACACUUCAUGAAUAUCACUAGUGUAGUCAUUAUUUUAAAAACGUAGAGCUGGAGAAAUAAACAUUUAGACAGGUAAGAACAGACUGAAGUUUUAAAUUUUAUUUUUAACAGUCAUUCUAAAAGAAUUGUUUAUCAUUAUAUAUUGGUAUGACUGUUAAAAGUUGAAACAAAAACAUGGAAGUAUGCUUUUAAUUGACCAUUGUUAUACAGAGAGAGUGAAUUUAAAAAUUUUUAUGCAUAUGAAGUUACUAAUAAUUUUUUGAGCACAUACAGUGUUCUACAUACUUACCUAUAUGUAUUCUUUAAUCCUCAUAACAGCCCCAUGAACUAUCUACUCUUAUUAUCAUCAUUCGAUCUUGCAGGUGAGGAAACUGAGGUCUAGAAAAGUUCAUUAAUUUGACUAAAGGCGCACAGUUAAUACAUGGUAGAGCCAAGGCUUAAACCCUGGCAUUCUGGUUUUAUGCUUUUAACCAACUGCUUAUUAUUGGUAUCUUAUUGUGAUGAUUUUGGAAAACACUACUAAUUUAUUUGGAAUGUAUUAAUAGUCUUUAUUUAUUUACAAGUUUAAUAAAGAAAAA
ensembl:lncRNA